UGACAUAACCUGAAAAGGUUUUGUGCCAAUGAUUUAAAAUUGUGAAGUUUUAUUGUGCUUUGGAACAAGAAGACUCAUUGGCACAGUACCAUAGCAUUCCCUAAGGGAAUCAUCCACAUUAACCACAAACACAGAUAAAAAUUUCUCAAGAGCAAUCUCUAUAUGUUUUGCUGACCACAGAAUACAUGGAGGUAAAAUGUCAUGCAUUAGCCCAUUUAAUAAAUGGUUUCAAGUUAUUGAAAAUACCGAAAUUAAAACUCUAGAUUCAAAAUCCUGGAGCCUGGGGAGCUGCAGAUGGAGAGCUGAGACCCAGCAGCUACUCGGUGUUCCACAGACAGCGCUGACGUUACAAUGCAAUCAUCUGAUGUGACAGAGAUCAUAUGCAUUCCCAAAAGCAGCUCCUCGGGCUUACAGUCCUUGAGCAGUCAUAAAAAUAAAAUGUCUCUUGAGACAUUUCAAAGAUAAGGCUGGAGAGAAAAGGGCCAUGUGGUUUGCAACGCUCUUAGAUAAAUCCAAAGUAACCGUCUCCUCCCAUGACGCACCAAGAUCAUCCAUAAGGUAUCCAGUUCUCUUCAUGGCAAUGGACAGCCACGCUGCUCUACGGGAGAAAAAUAGAAGGAAAGUAUUUGAGGCCUUGCCACUUUUCCACAAAAAUGGAUGUUUUCAUGAAAUAUGCACCUUCGCCCCUACCUCAGCAGCUUCUACCCCACAGGAGGAUGGCCUCCCUUCAACAUCCUGUCUCUGUCAGAAGGAUCACAGACACUUUAUGGAAGAUUUACACAGCCUUGUCAGUUUGUGCCUUGAGGGCAUCUGGUGUUUAGUCACACAAUCCUAUGAAGGAGGCCUAUUAGGCUCCCAUUCUGCCAAGUUUGCUGCAAUUAGUAGCGAUGCUCCCGGGAUCACGCUCUGAUAUGGUGUUUUCUGUUCCUCUGCCUUCCCUUUCCCACUUGGACAUCCUCCUCCUGCCCUCAGCAGUACCGAGCACCAUGGCAGGGGCCAUCAGGAGUGGGCAGCCCCGUGCUGCCCCACCAGAGCUGGUGGUGCUGGUGGGGCCGUGCCAUGCGGGUGCCCCCGGCAUCGCCCUGGCGGCGCUGCUGGUUGCAGGAGCAGGGUGCGGCAGGCAGGGCUGAGGCGUUUGAUCUGAGAUCAGAGGUGGGGAAGGAAGCAAGGCCUCACUUCAGUUCCCUUGCCAGCUGGGGUGGUUCAUCCCUGCUCGCACCCGCAGCAAUGAAAAUCGGAAUUUACAUAACACUGGUGGUUCACCUUGGAAGCACUCUGAUGGCAUGAGCAAGGCCUGUUCUGAAUGAAGUCGAGGGACACCUUGCCUGCCAGAGAGCUUUUCACCAUGGAGAUCUCUAGGUGCUGCUACCAUAAUCCUCAGAGGUUCAAUCCAGUUCUCUUUUAGAGGUCUGUCUGUAAAUCUGGGAAUGCAAAAGAGCACAGCAGAGCUUGAACUGAAAGAAAACAAGACAGCAUGAGAGAGAGAAGAAAGUCCUCCCCUUGCUUUUAAUCUGCCUUUUCAACAACUUUAGUUCUCCACCAUCAUCAGCACCAUUCUCCAGGCAGACACAGAUCCCCUGGUCUAUCCCCCACUGCCUAACUGCCCAAGUGCACUAUAGCCUGGGGCAGGGGGAAAGAGCUCCCACAGUCCUCCGAAAGAGAAGGGACUGGCCAGUGCCAGAAGCCAGCACUUGUCUUGAGACAUGAGCGAUUGGACCCAAAAAGAAAGUUAAGCAGCAUGUUGAGGAAAGAACCUACCUAUGAA